ACGCCUCAGAGUGAGGUAACGCCGAAUGA
rnacentral:sRNA from 1 species